rnacentral:rRNA from 1 species
UGGGGAAUAUUGCACAAUGGGGGGAACCCUGAUGCAGCGACGCCGCGUGGGGGAUGACGGCCUUCGGGUUGUAAACCUCUUUCAGUAGGGAAGAAGCCUUUGGGUGACGGUACCUGCAGAAGAAGUACCGGCUAACUACGUGCCAGCAGCCGCGGUAAUACGUAGGGUACAAGCGUUGUCCGGAAUUAUUGGGCGUAAAGAGCUCGUAGGUGGUUUGUCGCGUCUGCUGUGGAAUCGUGCCGCUUAACGGUGCGCGUGCAGUGGGUACGGGCAGACUGGAGUGCAGUAGGGGAGUCUGGAAUUCCUGGUGUAGCGGUGAAAUGCGCAGAUAUCAGGAGGAACACCGGUGGCGAAGGCGGGACUCUGGGCUGUUACUGACGCUGAGGAGCGAAAGCAUGGGGAGCGAACAGGAUUAGAUACCCUGGUA